GUUUCUGUAGCUUGGAAGUUUUAAGCUUGGGCCAAGAAGCGAAAACAACGCACAUCCCCUACAAUGGGGACUCCACCAUUUCAAUCAAGACCCCUUUCCCUCUGCUCUGGUGUCCUGUGAACCCAACUAAACGACACCCUCGCCAUGUCAAUUAACUCAUCAAACGCACACCCUUUUCUCUCCUGCAUUUUUAUUUUCCAUAAAAGGCAGAGGCAGCUUCACCAAACAGUCUCACAUUCACAACCCAGUGUUAUAGGUUGAGGUGAAAUCGAUUUGUUGGCAACAUGUAUCUUCUGAGGAGAAAAGCUCAGAACCCUGUGGAGGAUGAUUCUGCACAGAAAGAGGCACAGAAAGAAGCUCAGAAAGAAGCAAAGGUGCAUAUAGAGGGGCUCAGGGUCAAGAAGAUGGAGAUAUAGUUGUCGGUUUCUCUCUGAAGAGUCUUCUGAGAUAAUGUUUUCUAUUCUGAAAUGGAAAUGCUCAUGGUCUAUGAUAUCGGCGAUUGCUUCUAUUGUGGGAUUGGUUUCACUAAUGUUGGCUUCAAAAGUUCAUCUGUUCUUCUUUCCAUUAGUUCCUUCUUUCGAGUACUUUAGUCAAACUCAUAACUCUUGUGUCCCAAUCAAUGCUUCCACUGAAGCAAUUACGGAUCAUUUUAGGGGAAAUUUAGAACCUCCUAUUGACUUAGAAAAUCAUUUUCCAGCUGACUUGCACAAGGUAGUUGUUUUUAGUGGAGCACCAUGGAAGGCAGAGAUUGGCCGGUGGCUUGCUGGU